GACAGAGGGUGCAAGCGUUAAUCGGAGUGACUGGGCGUAAAGGGCACGCAGGCGGCCUGUUAAGUGAGAUGUGAAAGACCAGGGCUCAACCUUGGCAAGCAUCUGAUACUGACAGGCUAGAGUGACGGAGAGGUGAGUGGAAUUUCUGGUGUAGCGGUGAAAUGCGUAGAUAUCAGAAGGAACACCAGUGGCGAAGGCGGCUCACUGGCCGUACACUGACGCUCAGGUGCGAAAGCGUGGGUAGCGAACAGG
rnacentral:misc_RNA from 1 species